AACGCGAAGAACCUUACCAGGUCUUGACAUCCCCCUGAAUAGUUUAGAGAUAAGCUAGGCCUUCGGGACAGGGGAGACAGGUGGUGCAUGGUUGUCGUCAGCUCGUGUCGUGAGAUGUUGGGUUAAGUCCCGCAACGAGCGCAACCCUUGAUGUUAGUUGCCAGCGAGUAAGGUCGGGCACUCUAACGUGACUGCCGGUGACAAACCGGAGGAAGGUGGGGAUGACGUCAAAUCAUCAUGCCCCUUAUGACCUGGGCUACACACGUACUACAAUGGCCGGUACAACGGGGUGCGAAGGAGCGAUCUGGAGCGAAUCCUUAGAAGCCGGUCUCAGUUCGGAUUGCAGGCUGCAACUCGCCUGCAUGAAGUCGGAAUUGCUAGUAAUCGCGGAUCAGCAUGCCGCGGUGAAUACGUUCCCGGGCCUUGUA
rnacentral:rRNA from 1 species